rnacentral:rRNA from 1 species
CAGUAGCCACGGUAACACGGAGGGUGCAAGCGUUAAUCGGAAUUACUGGGCGUAAAGCGCACGCAGGCGGUCUGUCAAGUCAGAUGUGAAAUCCCCGGGCUUAACCUGGGAACUGCAUUUGAAACUGGCAGGCUAGAGUCUUGUAGAGGGGGGUAGAAUUCCAGGUGUAGCGGUGAAAUGCGUAGAGAUCUGGAGGAAUACCGGUGGCGAAGGCGGCCCCCUGGACAAAGACUGACGCUCAGGUGCGAAAGCGUGGGGAGCAAACAGGAUUAGAUACCCGGGUAGUCCCUGUCUCUUAUAC